UGGAUUUGCAGCAGAAACACUCUGCUACAGAACAAGUGUCUUGGUUCACAGCAAAGAGGACAAAGAAAACAGCAAGUUUUAGGGGGUUGAAUCCUGGAUUCCCCUGGCAAACACCAUUCUACUUUCCGUCUCUAUGAAUUUGACUACUCGAAGUACCUCAUGUGAAAUGUUGGUGCCAAAUGAACUUUUCUGGUUCUUCUGAAUAUGCCACUGUUGCUGGAGAAAUGUCACUGCUAGAGAACAGAAGACUAUUAUUCCAAAGGGUAUUUGAGACUGACUGAAUCAGGUCUGGAACAUUAUUGAAAUGGUGGUGACCAGAUGGAUAUAAACGGGCUGUGGAAAAAGAGAAUGCAUGGCCAAAAAUGGUGGUGCUCUCUGUCCAAAAACUGAGGCCCUAUGACCAUGAAUGAAGCCAGAGGGCAGGUAGGAAUAGAUCAUUUGCUCCAGAAGAAGCUGGUUGCCAUGUCUUGAGGACAGUAAACCCUCUGGGGAGGUUCCUGUGGUAAGGAACAAGGGCUCCUGGCAAUAGCCUCUGAGUGAGCCACCUUGAAAAUGGAUUGUCCAGCCCCAGUCAAGCUUUCAGAUGACUGUAGCUCCUGCCAAUGUCUUCACCACAACCUCAUGAGAUCCCAAGCUACAACCACUCAGAACUUCAUCUUUUGGGAAGCACCAGGGAGAGCUGCCUGUGCCUGGCAGAAGCUGCCCAUGCCCCACUGAUACCCCACAGUACUUCCUGUUCUGCUUAGUACUCCUGCUUCUUUCUACAAACAACUGUGAUUCUCUACCUGGGAGCUUCCUCUGGCCACAGGAGCCUGCUCACCUGAUUGGGACACCCUAGCAGUACUGGCUCAUAGAUGGAAGGGACUUGCCUUGUCGCUGAUGAGACUUUCGACUUGGACUUUUGAGUCAAUGCUGGAAUGAGUUAAGACUUUGGGGAACUGUUGGAAGGGUGUGAUUGUGUUUUGAAUUGUGAGGACAUGAGAUUUUGAAGAGGCUAAUGGCAGCGUCCCCACCUAAAUCUCUUCUUGAAUUGUAGUUCCCAUAAUCCCCACGUGUCGUGGGGUGGAGCCGGUGGAGAUAAUUGAAUCAUGGGAACACUUUCCCCCAUGCUGUUAUUGUGAUUGUGAAUUCUCACGAGAUCUGAUGGUUGUAUAAACGCCUUCCCUCUUCGCUGGGCACUCAUUUUUCUCCUUCCUGCCACCAUGUGAAGAAGGAUAUGCUUGCUUCUUGUGCCAUGAUUACAAGAACACACUCAGAAAUUUUCUCAACACAGUUUCUAUGCAGAGAAGAGAUGUGGGACAGAUUUGAACUGCUGUCAUAUUUGUAUGAACCCAAGACAUUUUCCAAGACCAAGAGGGAUAAAGACAGCAAUUUCUAUGACUGGCAUUUUACGUGCAUGCACUGUUUCCAAGUGUUCUUGUGUUCUGUGCCUUAAACAUUCUGUGUUGCAACUUUAUGAAUUGAAUUAAAGAUAAUCCCAAGCCCCCAAUUGUCUCAAAAAGUGAAAAAGUAAAUGUUAUAGAAAGAAAAGCGGGAAAAACUUUAAGCAUGAAAUAAAAGAUGGGUUGUGAUAAAAGAGGACUGAAGAAGGAAAAGGAAUGAAAGGUUCUGCCAUCCUUCAUGGCAGCCCACUCCACUUGGUAUGAGAUACUGCUCCCUUGGCUGAAAGUUAACUGCUGUACUCCCUCCACUUUCUAUAAAUGACUCCCUGUGCCUUUCCUUCACCACACAACUCACACUCUCUUCCUUCCUAGUGAGUCCACUAAGGCUUCACUGCAUUAUUACAUUUAUUUCAUUUAGGAAAAACUGACUUUAUUUUCCUUCAAAUUGUUUUUUAUUGUUUAUAUGAGCUUGGUUUUAUUGUCAUUCUAUUUUUCUCCAUGAAAAUAGAGAAAAAUAGGGUCGAAAGGUUAGGUUGGGUGGAAAGGAAUUAUAUUUUUUCUCACUAAAAUUGAUGUAAAUAUCGUUUUCAAUUGAAUGAUUUUACACAGUGGCACAGUUUCAGGUAUGUUGCUAAGCAGGAAAGUUGUUAACCAAAGCAUGAAUGUAUUAAGGAGAUGUAUGCAGAAUGACAUGCAAGGUUAUCUAUGAUUGCUGAGUGAGAAAGAGCAAGUUGCUGAGUAUUAUAUAAGUAUGAUCUCACUUUUGUAAAAAAAAAAAAAAAAAAAGGCCUGGACUGAUCUGAAAUGACCCUAUUAAUAACAAUUAUGUCCAGGUCUGUAUUGCAUACUUGUCAUUCAUUACAGGAUCUUGAGACACAAUGCAAAGGAUCACAUCGCAGCUCUGUAACUUGUUAACUAUAAGAUUUUGAGUAACAUAACACCUUACUCCUUAAAAUUGCUUAAAAAAAAUCUGAACAUCAGGAAUAUUCUACUUCACAGGGUCGUUGUGAUAAUUAAAUGUAGUAAUCAAUGACAAUAGUGCCAGAUACAGUAGAUAGCCUACACUUUGCAGCUACUAUUUCUAUCUAUCAUCCAUCUAUUAAUAUAUAUCAUCUAUCUUUAACUUAUCAUCUAUCUUGUUCCAGUUUUUUAAAAUGAACAUGUAUUAACUUUGUAAAAAAUUAAGGCUAUAAGAUGUGCUGAGCUUUUGGAAUAGAUUUUCCUGUACUAUAUAUGACUGCCAGUGGGAGAAUUUGAAUAAAUGUGUAAAUUUGACUAA
rnacentral:lncRNA from 1 species